CGGAGAUUGUUGUGUUGCAAAAAUCCGGCCGUCGACCUGAGGACUUGCGUGCAGCUCAGCUCCCGGGACGUUUGGAGCUGCUGCUAAAUAAUUUCUGCUCAGCCAUGUCGCCGGCUCCAGAUGCAGCCCCGGCUCCUGCGUCGAUCUCCCUGUUUGACCUCAGCGCGGAUGCUCCGGUCCUUCAGGGCCUGAGCCUGGCUCAGGGGAGAGAGAAAGCCCAGAAAGAAAGCUACUCCAGGGUCCUAUGGAUAUUUCAGAGAAGUUAUUUUGUUCAACCUGUGACCAGACCUUCCAGAACCACCAAGAACAGAGGGAACAUUAUAAGCUUGACUGGCAUCGGUUUAACCUAAAGCAACGUCUCAAGGACAAGCCUCUCCUGUCUGCCCUGGACUUUGAAAAGCAGAGCUCCACAGGAGAUCUUUCCAGCAUCUCAGGAUCAGAAGACUCAGACUCAGCCAGUGAGGAGGACUUGCAGACACUGGAUCGGGAGAGGGCUACAUUUGAGAAGUUUAGCCGACCCCAAGGCUUUUACCCUCAUCGAGUUCUUUUCCAGAAUGCCCAGGGCCAGUUUCUUUAUGCCUACCGCUGUGUCCUAGGCCCUCAUCAGGAUCCCCCAGAAGAGGCAAAACUGCUGCUACAGAAUCUGCAAAGCAGAGGUCCCAGAGACUGCGUGGUGCUCAUGGCUGCAGCUGGGCACUUUGCUGGUGCUAUAUUUCAAGGAAGAGAAGUGGUGACACACAAAACUUUUCACCGCUAUACGGUGCGAGCCAAGCGGGGCACAGCCCAGGGGCUUCGGGAUGCCCGAGGUGGGCCAUCACGCUCUGCUGGAGCCAACCUGAGGCGCUACAAUGAAGCCACACUAUAUAAGGAUGUUCGUGACCUGCUGGCAGGGCCAAGCUGGGCUAAGGCGCUGGAGGAGGCUGGUACAAUACUGUUGCGUGCUCCCCGCUCUGGCCGGUCGUUGUUCUUUGGAGGCAAGGGGGCACCCCUGCAAAGGGGGGAUCCCCGACUUUGGGAUAUCCCCCUCGCCACCCGCAGACCCACCUUCCAAGAGCUACAGCGUGUGCUCCAUAAGCUGACCACUUUGCAUGUCUAUGAAGAAGACCCUCGGGAAGCAGUCAGACUGCACUCACCUCAGACACACUGGAAAACAAUAAGAGAGGAGAGAAAGAAGCCUACUGAGGAAGAAAUAAGAAAGAUCUGCAGUGAUGAAAAGGAAGCACUUGGGCAGAAUGAGGAAUCUCCCAAACAGGGUUUGAUUACUAUCUGGCAACUGUCAGAUCUGAGUUUCUGUCCUAAAAAUGCACUGGCAAAUUCCCUACUCUCAUAACUGACCCAUUUCCUUAUUUAAACACACACCCACAGUAUCUGUAUCUUAGCAAUUACUGAGACAUGUUUAGUGACCUUUCCAAAUCUAUUACCUCUUUUGUUAUGGAUGUUACCCCAGAGCUAAGAAAAUCUUUGUGUGGAGCAGAUGCGUGGACGUGUUGCAUGGAUCUCACAUAGUUUAUCUUUGAUUGGAAGCUGUGGUUUGAGGCUGAGGGCUGCUUCCAUGCUUUCCUCUAUUGUGCAGCCUCCUAAGGCUGCUCAUAAGUCCAGGGACUUGUUCUUGUCUGGGCUGAGAGCCUCAUUUCUGCAUGUGAUAUAAUGGACUCAGCUCUUGAGGUGCUACUUUAUCUGGGUGACAAAAUAAAAACAAUUUUAUUUCAGGCUUUCAUUCUUAUGCAUCUGCUUCUACCCUCUGAGUACUCCCUAGAUGGAUUUCACAUGUCAGGUUUUUCCCUAGGUUCAGGGUCGGAGGGAGAAGAUGGCUUUCAGGUAGAGUUGGAGCUAGUGGAGUUGACCAUGGGGACUCUGGAUCUUCGUGAGUCUGAAGUAUUGCCCAAGCGGAGGAGGAGAAAAAGGAAUAAGAAGGAGAAAAGCCGAGACCAGGAGACUGGGGCACAUCGGACUCUUCUCCAGCAAACUCAAGAAGAGGAGCCUUCCACACAGUCAUCCCAGGCAGUUGUUGCCCCCUUGGGCCCUUCGCUGGAUGAGGCCAAAGCCCCUGGUCAGCCAGAGCUCUGGAAUGCACUGCUUGCUGCUUGCCGAGCUGGAGAUGUUGGAGUGCUGAAGCUGCAGCUAGCUCCCAGCCCUGCAGACCCUAGAGUUCUGUCUCUGCUCAGUGCCCCCUUGGGCUCCGGUGGCUUUACUCUCCUGCAUGCAGCAGCUGCAGCUGGAAGAGGCUCAGUGGUUCGUCUGCUGCUGGAAGCAGGUGCCGACCCCAUUGUGCAGGACUCACGGGCCCGGCCACCUUAUACUGUUGCGGCUGACAAAUCAACACGUAAUGAGUUCCGAAGGUUCAUGGAGAAGAACCCAGAUGCCUACGAUUACAACAAGGCUCAGGUGCCAGGACCAUUGACACCAGAAAUGGAGGCACGGCAGGCUACACGGAAAAGGGAGCAGAAGGCAGCCCGGCGGCAACGGGAGGAACGGCAGCAGAGGCACCAGGAGCAGGAGGAGCGUGAACGAGAAGAGCAGCGGCGAUUUGCCGCCCUCAGUGACCGAGAGAAGAGAGCUCUGGCUGCAGAGUGCCGACUUGCUGCCCAGUUGGGAGCCCCUACCUCUCCGAUCCCUGACUCUGCAAUCGUCAAUACUCGACGCUGCUGGAGUUGUGGGGCAUCCCUCCAAGGCCUCACUCCCUUUCACUACCUCGACUUCUCUUUCUGCUCCACACGUUGCCUCCAGGAUCAUCGCCGUCAGGCAGGGAGGCCCUCUUCCUGAUCUCUUACAGCUCUACCUGGGGCCAACUCAGGGACCUGAGAGGGCACAUUCACAGCAGCCCUAGGUUUUUUCUUCCUCAUGAAACCAGAGAUGAUUUGGAAGAUGGGGGUGAAGGACACUCGGGAACUAGGGCAAAGACAGGGCCAGAGAGGUAUGUGGAGCUGGUACUGUCUCU
rnacentral:sRNA from 1 species